rnacentral:rRNA from 1 species
AGAGUUUGAUCCUGGCUCAGAUUGAACGCUGGCGGCAUGCCUUACACAUGCAAGUCGAACGGCAGCAUGAUCUAGCUUGCUAGAUUGAUGGCGAGUGGCGAACGGGUGAGUAAUACAUCGGAACGUGCCCUGUAGUGGGGGAUAACUAGUCGAAAGAUUAGCUAAUACCGCAUACGACCUGAGGGUGAAAGUGGGGGACCGCAAGGCCUCAUGCUAUAGGAGCGGCCGAUGUCUGAUUAGCUAGUUGAUGAGGUAAAGGCUCACCAAGGCGACGAUCAGUAGCUGGUCUGAGAGGACGAUCAGCCACACUGGGACUGAGACACGGCCCAGACUCCUACGGGAGGCAGCAGUGGGGAAUUUUGGACGAUGGGCGAAAGCCUGAUCCAGCAAUGCCGCGUGUGUGAAGAAGGCCUUCGGGUUGUAAAGCACUUUUGUCCGGAAAGAAAUGGCUCUGGUUAAUACCUGGGGUCGAUGACGGUACCGGAAGAAUAAGGACCGGCUAACUACGUGCCAGCAGCCGCGGUAAUACG